ACUCCUACGGGAGGCAGCAGUGGGGAAUAUUGGACAAUGGGGGAAACCCUGAUCCAGCAAUGCCGCGUGUGUGAAGAAGGCCUGAGGGUUGUAAAGCACUUUCAACUGUGAGGAUUGGGUAUUUUGGUUAAUACCCGAGAUCCUUGACGUUAGCAGUAGAAGAAGCACCGGCUAACUCCGUGCCAGCAGCCGCGGUAAGUACGGAGGGUGCAAGCGUUAAUCGGAAUUACUGGGCGUAAAGCGUCUGUAGGCGGCUUAUUAAGUCGGAUGUGAAAUCCCAGGGUCUUAACCUUGGAACUGCAUUCGAUACUGGUAGGCUAGAGUGUGUAAGAGGAUAGUGGAAUUCCGAGGUGUAGCGGUGAAAUGCGUAGAUAUCGUGGAGGAACAGUCGAGUGGCGAAGGUCGACUGUCUGGUACAACACGUGACGCUCGAGAGACGAAAGCGUGGG
rnacentral:rRNA from 1 species